UUGUUAAACUCACAUUAGGCCCUCUGCUCAGAACCUCUCAGGAGAGAAAAUUGAGGCAGAUAACCUGAGCUGUCCACCUGGGCCUGGCCUGGUACUAAAAUCUGUGUGCAAACUUGGAAGCUGAUUAGGAGGCAAGCACCACAAAGUAUUCAGUUAUGUGGCUUCUUCUGAGUCUGGUGUUUUGAUGAUUUUCCAGUCUGUCUAGAAAGCCAUUCACUAGUGCCUUAUCUUUCCCAUCCUGAGAUGACAGCUCUAGAUGUUUAAAACCAACAGAAACCUGUCCCAGAGUAACCACUGUCCAUCCUACCAUUCUCACGACACAGAAUGAAGACAUUGUGUGAGGACCGGAGCUGCUGCAGCUACCUUGCAACCACAUAAAGCAACACUGCCAAUACAUUGAGGACUGCAGAGCAGGAGGAAGGAUUCUUGCUACAAUUGGUCACCUGCUAAGCCAACUGAACUUCUUGCUAAGUGGGGAAAUAAAUAUCUUUACUGUAUAAGCUACUUUCAGUUGAGCAUAUAACUGUAUAACUUCCUAUUAAAA
rnacentral:lncRNA from 1 species